GCCCUUCUCGACGCAGUCACGUAUGAAGUGAUAGCGGAGAUCGAUGUGCUUGUUGCGGUCGUGAAGCACUGGAUUCUUGCAGAGGGAAAUCGCCGACUUGUUGUCGACGAAGAUGAGCGCAGGGUGGUGUCCUGAUUCAGCAUCUGGCCGAGAAGGCGAGCAAGCCAAAUGCCUUGACAGGCCACUGUAGCUGCCAUGAUGUACUCCGCCUCGCACAAAGAUGCGGCGACAACCUUCUGCCUCACCGAUUGCCAGUUGACUGGACUAUUCCCGAGCAGGAACAGUAUGCCCGAGGUGCUCUUUAGGGAGUCCACGUCACCAGCAUGUUCGGAGUCGCUGUACCCGACCAAGCUCUCGUCGUCGCCACGACGAUACACGCAUCCAUGCGUGAGUGUACCCGCGAUGUACCGGAGCAGGUGCUUGACGGCAGCGAGGUGAUCGCUUGCCGGGGCUUCCAUGAACCUACUCAGGUACCCGACAACGAACGUGAUGUCCGGUCGGGUGUGCUCGAGAUACCUUAGGCUCCCGAUGAUGUUGCGGUAGAGCGUAGCAUCCACCGCCUUCUCAAAGCUAUCAUUGCUAAGCUUCAGCCGUGCCUCCAUUGGAGCAUGCACAACAUAGCAGUCCUUCAUGCCUGCUCGCUCGAGCAUCUUGGUGGCGUAGGCCGCCUGCGUGAUCGUGAUGCGACCACCCUCCUGGUUCACCUCUAGUCCGAGGUAGUACCGAAGCAGCCCGAGGUCGCUCAUGCUGAAGAGACGAUGCAUCUCUCCCUUGAAGCGUCGAACCUCUUCGGGCUCUGCCCCGGCGAUGACCAGGUCGUCGACGUAGAUGCCGACGAUGAGCAACGUGUUCGCGGUGCCACGCGAGUACACGCCAUGCUCAGAAGCGCUGCGUGAGAACCCAAGGGAUGCGAGGCUUGCAUCGAGCUUGGAGUUCCAUGCCCUUGGGGUUUGCCGGAGACCGUACAGGGCCUUGUGUAGCCUGUACACGCCCUGCUCGUGGUUCUUGGCAACGAACCCUGGAGGCUGGGAGACGUACACCUCCUCGUUAAGGUCGCCGUUGAGAAACGCCGACUUGACGUCCAUGUGGUGUACCUCCCACCCGCGAUGAGCGGCCACGGCAAGGAUAAGCCGCACAGACUCCAUCCUUGCCACCGGAGCGAAGACUUCCUCGAAGUCCACCCCCUUGCGUUGUACGUAGCACUUUGCGACGAGGCGCGCCUUGUGCUUGACAAUGGCGCCGUGCUCAUCCUUUUUCACCUUGAACACCCACUUGAGCUCGAUGGCUCAGUGCCCAGCAGGCAGUGUGGUGAAUGUCCAAGUGGCGUUGUCGUUGAUCGACGCCAGCUCGUCCAGCAUCGCGUGGCGCCAACAAUCCUCUUGGUCGGCCUAUGCAAACGUGGUCGGUUCCUCACCGGCCAUCAGAUGCAAGACGUAGUCGUCAUCAACGUCCUCUUCCUCGGGUUGUUACGGUGUUGCCGCAACAUCGCCGAGGAGAUCUCCCAUGCGCCGAAACCUGUUGGGGGCGCCAAUGCUGUCGUCGGCGGAGAACAUCUCUGACCUUGCUGUUGGCGGGGUCGCAAACUGCCUCCCGUGACCCACCUUGCUUGACGUCGGGGUGUCCGGGGACAUCGUACCCAGGGACGGUGUUCUCGGGGUUGCGGUUCCCGGAUCAACACCUCCCGGGCUUCCCGGGGUCUUGCUUCCCGGGGUUGUAGAGUACAUCGGGUACUCCACAGUGAAGGAGCUACUUGCCGGGGCCUCCCCCGACGCCUCCCAAGUCCAUCGCACGCCUUCGUCGAAGAUGACGUCGCGCGAGACAUGCACACGCUUUGAGACGGGGUCGUACAUCUUGUACGCCUAAGAGCCCGUCUCAUAGCCAAUGAACACCAUUGGGGUGCUCCUGUCGUCGAGCUUCUUCAGCUGUGGGCGCGUCAUCUUGACGUGCCCGACGGACCCAAAGGUGUGCAGGAAGCGUGCAUCGGGCUUCCUCCCACACCACGCCUCGUAAGGCGUCUUGCCGUCGAUGCUCCUUGUGAAGGAGCGGUUGAGGAUGAAGACGGCCAUGAGUACGGCCUCCCCCCAAUAUGUGCAUGGCACCUGCUUUGCCUUGAGCAUGCAGCGUGCCAUCCCGAGCACAGUUUGGUUCCUCUGCUCGACGUCGCCGUUCUGCUGCGGCGAGUAGGGGGCUGUCAGGUGACGUUGUACCCCUUUGUCGUCGCAGUGCUUGUAGAACGUGGCCGACGUGAACUCGCCGACACGGUCCGUGCGUAGCACGCGCAGCUUGUGGCCGCAUUCCACCUCUGCUGACGCUUGCUGCUUGACGAUGGCUUGCUCCGCCUCGUCCUUGGAGGCGAGGAGCAACACCCACAUGAACCUGCUGUAGUCGUCGACGAGCAGCAGGAUGUAGCGAUGCCCUCCUGGCGUUGUCGGGGUGAUUCGGCCGCAGAGGUCCCCAUGAACCAAUUCCAGGGGUUUCUGCGCCCGAUAGCGUGCCUUCUCGGGAAAGGGCAGGCGCCGCUGCUUCCGGGCAAGACAUGCAUCGCACAACUCGUCGGCAUGCUCGAUGUGAGGUGGCCCACAAACGAGUUUGCCUCGCGCCAUCUUCCACAACCCGUCGAAGUGCUGGUGUCCUAGCCGGGCAUGCCAACGCCACGCGUCGGAGACAUGGCCCACGGCAAGGCACACAGGAUGCACGGGUUGAAAGAAGAGCUUGUAGAGGCGGUUUGCCGAGCGGGUUACCUCGAUGAGCAGCCUUUUCUGCUGGUCGCGCACGGUGAGAACACCGUGGCGGAUGCCGAUGUCGAACCAGCCCUUGUCGAGCUGUCCGACACUCAGGACGCUGCUAUUGAGCGCCGGGAUGAAGUAGACGUCCGUGAACACCCUAUGAUCACCCCCUUUGUCGGCGAAGACGAUGGUCCCGCGCCCGUGGAUCUCCACCACGGAUCCGUCCGCGAACCGCACCUUCCCGGUGAUUGAGCGGUCCAGCUCCGCGAACGCGUCGACUGAACCAGUCAUGUGGUUCGUGGCGCCGGUGUCGAGGAACCAACCCUCACUUUGCUUGCUGCCUGCAAGCGUGGGUGUGGUCAUGGCUCUCUCCUCGUUGAGGAAGACCCACCAAGCUCUCGAUGGACCAGGCCAGUUGCUUGUACUGCCUGGGGACGACGCGGAGAAACUUGAGAAUCACCAUCUUGUUGUCGAUGGGAUCUCCGAGCGUUGCAAGCUCGGUGACGAGACCUUGCAGCCGCAAGGCGAAGUCGUCGACUUGUUCACCGGCCUUGAACCGGAUCUCCUCGUACUGGAGGCGCAAGGUCUGGGCCUUCGACUCCCGUACGCGCUCCACGCCGAUGCGCAGAGUCUUGAUGGUGUCCCAGGCUUCCUUGGCCGUCUCCUUGGCGCCAAGGGUGAGCACCAUCUCCGCUGGGACGGAGCACAAGAUCGCCUCCAUCGCUAGCCGGUCCUCCUCAUACUCGACAGCGCCGGUUUCCACGGCUUCCCACAUAUGCCGCGCCUCCAUGAUGACUUUCAUCAAGACGGACCAACUGGGGUAGUUGGUCCGUGUGAGGAGACGGAAGGAGGCACUGGACAUGCCCACGUCUCGCACAGAGCGUGGCGCACCCAGCUCACCUCCCGGCCUGCCUCGCAGUGCGAGCACGUCCGCCGCACGGGUCUCCUCUGCCGAGCCCUGCUUGGCGGUCUUGGAACCGUUGUGGGUGACGCCUCCUUUCGGCAUAUGCUUCGGCAUAACCUGAGGCUCUGAUGCCAAUUGUUAGCCCAAAUUACAGAGUAGCUGGCUACCAGGAUCAGACGAAGUCGAGGAAGAGAUGAACUACAUAGAGUAGCGGCUGUGUGGUACUGCCUACUACUACUUGCACUCGCAAGUGCUGCUUACACACACACACGUACACAUAUGUAGUAAUACUACUUGAGGCAUAGAUGGAUUGAAAUGGAAUGGCCUUAUUACAAGUGAAGGACCCAGGGUCCUUUUAUAGGCCGGGCUGUGCCCAGUGCACACACACUACGAACAUGCACCCCUAGCUUUUUUACUAGAUAUAAAGGCUACUACAAACUCUCCACCUCAGGCUUUUUCACGAGAGAAAGACUACUACUACUCAGCGUCCACUACUCAGCUCCUUUCUAACUAGAGAAAGCCUAGUAUUGCUUAGCUACUUUCCAUGCAACCAUGCAUGCGUGGAAGACACGGUGAAGCUCACAAUCUUCCCCUUAACCAUCUCGAAGAGGCUUGACGUCGAUGGUCCCGACUUUGUCACGCAGUUCUUGGAACCGGACGCGACCAAGUGACUUGGUCAGGAUGUCCGCCUUCUGCUUACUAGUCCUGAUGAACUCCACUAUCACCGUGCCCUUCUCGAAGCAGUCACCUAUGAAGUGAUAGCGGAGAUCGAUGUGCUUGUUGCGGUCGUGAAGCACUGGAUUCUUGCAGAGGGAAAUCGCCGACUUGUUGUCGACGAACAUGAGCGCAGGGUGGUGUCCUGAUUCAGCAUCUCGCCGAGAAGGCGAGCAAGCCAAAUGCCUUGACAGGCCACUGUAGCUGCCGCGAUGUACUCCGCCUCGCACAAAGAUGCGGCGACAACCUUCUGCCUCACCGAUUGCCAGCUGACUGGACUAUUC
rnacentral:lncRNA from 1 species